UACGGAGGAUGCGAGCGUCAUCCGGAUUUAUUGGGUUUAAAGGGUGCGUAGGCGGGCUGUUAAGUCAGCGGUCAAAUGUCGGGGCUCAACCCCGGCCUGCCGUUGAAACUGGCGGCCUCGAGUGGGCGAGAAGUAUGCGGAAUGCGUGGUGUAGCGGUGAAAUGCAUAGAUAUCUCGCAGAACUCCGAUUGCGAAGGCAGCAUACCGGCGCCCGACUGACGCUGAGGCACGAAAGCGUGGGUAUCGAACAGG
rnacentral:rRNA from 1 species